UACGGAGGGGGCUAGCGUUGUUCGGAAUUACUGGGCGUAAAGCGCACGUAGGCGGCUUUGCAAGUUAGAGGUGAAAGCCCGGGGCUCAACUCCGGAAUUGCCUUUAAAACUGCAUCGCUAGAAUUGUGGAGAGGUAAGUGGAAUUCCGAGUGUAGAGGUGAAAUUCGUAGAUAUCGGGAGGAACACCAGUGGCGAAGGCGGCGAUCUGGGCAGAUACUGACGCUGAGGUGCGAAAGCGUGGGGAGCAAACAGG
rnacentral:rRNA from 1 species